CCAGUCCAGGAGAGAGAGAUUCUCGGUUCAUACAGUUGGAGAUCGAUUAUCGUCCCUGAGGUUCAGAUUCCGAGCCUAGACAAUGCUUCUCUCACUAUCACAUCCCUGAGGUUCUAAAAACCAAAUUUAACUAUUUUAUUUUGCUCACAGCUGUUUUUUGUUUUUGAAAAGAUCGAUUAUCGUCCGCUAUAAUUUUCUUUGGAUCAUCUACCGGGAGCAGUGCCAGAAGGAGCUCAUAAACAUCCUCAAGAAUGCGAGUCUACUCACUCCAUGGUUUCCCUGUUUGGUUCCCGAGAAAAACGUAGAAAAGAAAAUAGCCAUGAGAAGCCGUGGCUGUUUUCUUCUCGUGGCUAUUUUCUGUUCAGUAGAAUUCAUGUUAUACCGGCCCUCAACGAUUCGAGGGAAGAAAUGCUUGAUAAUCGAUCCCCAGCUCAGGAGCUCUCUCUCAUCGAUCAUCCAGGCGUCACUUCUGAAGGCAUUUCUCUUCAACUACACACAAGUCUUUAUGUGGCCAUUAAGCUCCGUUGGAUUUCAUGGAAUCUAGUUAUGAGAUAAUUUACACUCGGUUACUAUGAUUGAUAUUGUACCAAGAAUAAUUUGACGUAAUUAUGUCUCUCUUCGGUUAAUUCUUGAAGCUAUUUCUCCAAGGUUAAUUCUUUCCAAUUUGUCAUAUGUACGGUUUAUGGAUUGUCCCCUCCUAGAUACUAAUUUUCAAUCGCAUGAAGCUGAUUCAGAUGCUUUGAGUACA